ACAGGGAUUGCCCUAGUAACGGCGAGUGAAGCGGCAACAGCUCAAAUUUGAAAUCUGGCCUCGGCCCGAGUUGUAAUUUGCAGAGGAAGCUUUAGGCGCGGCACCAACUGAGUCCCCUGGAACGGGGCGCCAUAGAGGGUGAGAGCCCCGUAUAGUUGGACGCCUAGCCUGUGUAAAGCUCCUUCGACGAGUCGAGUAGUUUGGGAAUGCUGCUCAAAAUGGGAGGUAAAUUUCUUCUAAAGCUAAAUACCGGCCAGAGACCGAUAGCGCACAAGUAGAGUGAUCGAAAGAUGAAAAGCACUUUGAAAAGAGGGUUAAAUAGCACGUGAAAUUGUUGAAAGGGAAGCGCUUGUGACCAGACUUGCGCCGGGCGGAUCAUCCGGUGUUCUCACCGGUGCACUCCGCCCGGCUCAGGCCAGCAUCGGUUCUCGCGGGGGGAUAAAGGCCUCGGGAACGUAGCUCCUCCGGGAGUGUUAUAGCCCGGGGCGCAAUGCCCUCGCGGGGACCGAGGUUCGCGCAUCUGCAAGGAUGCUGGCGUAAUGGUCAUCAGCGACCCGUCUUGAAACACGGACCAAGGAGUCAAGGUUUUGCGCGAGUGUUUGGGUGUCAAACCCGCACGCGUAAUGAAAGUGAACGUAGGUGAGAGCUUCGGCGCAUCAUCGACCGAUCCUGAUGUUUUCGGAUGGAUUUGAGUAGGAGCGUUAAGCCUUGGACCCGAAAGAUGGUGAACUAUGCUUGGAUAGGGUGAAGCCAGAGGAAACUCUGGUGGAGGCUCGCAGCGGUUCUGACGUGCAAAUCGAUCGUCAAAUCUGAGCAUGGGGGCGAAAGACUAAUCGAACCAUCUAGUAGCUGGUUACCGCCG
rnacentral:rRNA from 1 species